rnacentral:rRNA from 1 species
UUCCGGUUGAUCCCGCCGGACCCCACUGCUAUCGAGGUGGGACUAAGCCAUGCCAGUCGAACGACUCGGACUAUGGCGGGGAGUGGCAGACUGCUCAGUAACACGUAGCUAACCUACCCUCGGGACGGGGAUAACCCCGGGAAACUGGGGCUAAUACCCGAUAGGUAUGGAUUCCUGGAAUGGUGCCAUGCCUAAACGUAAGCACAUCCAUGUUUGUGUGCACGCCCGAGGAUGGGGCUGCGGCCGAUCAGGCAGUUGGUGAGGUAACGGCUCACCAAACCUUUGACCGGUACGGGCCAUGAGAGUGGUAGCCCGGAGAUGGGCACUGAGACAAGGGCCCAGGCCCUACGGGGCGCAGCAGGCGCGAAACCUCCACAAUUCACGCAAGUGAGAUGGGGUUACCUCGAGUGCCAUCUGAAGAAGGUGGCUUUUCCAUGGUGUAAUGAGCCGUGGGAAUAAGGGGGGGGCAAGACUGGUGUCAGCCGCCGCGGUAACACCAGCCCCCCGAGUGGUGGGGAUGAUUAUUUGGCCUAAAGCGUCCGUAGCCGGCCCUGUAAAUCUCUCGUUAAAUCCAGCGUCCUAAGCGUUGGGCUGCGAGGGAAACUGCAGAGCUAGAGGGUGGGAGAGGUCAGCGGUAUUCCUGGGGUAGGGGCGAAAUCCAUUGAUCCCAGGAGGACCACCAGUGGCGAAGGCUGCUGACUUGAACACGCCUGACGGUGAGGGACGAAAGCUGGGGUAGCGAAUCGGAUUAGAUACCCGAGUAGUCCCAGCCGUAAACGAUGCACGCUAGGUGUUGGGCCGGCCACGUGCUGGCUCAGUGCCACAGGGAAGCCAUUAAGCCUGCCGCCUGGGGAGUACGGCCGCAAGGCUGAAACUUAAAGGAAUUGGCCGGGGGGAGCACACCAGGCGUGAAGCCUGCGGUUAAUUGGAUUCAACGCCGGG